rnacentral:rRNA from 1 species
GACGAACGCUGGCGGCGUGCCUAACACAUGCAAGUUGAGCGACGAACCGGGGCUUGCCCCGGGGCAAAGCAGCGAACGGGUGAGUAACACGUGGGUAACCUACCCCGAUGACCGGGACAACCCGAGGAAACUCGGGCUAAUACCGGAUGUGCUUACUAGACAUCAGUCAAAGUAAAGUAAAGAAAGCUUCGGCCUUCGUAGUCGGGAGGGGCCCGGCGGCCCGACUUAGUUAGUUGGUGAGGUAACGGCUC